rnacentral:rRNA from 1 species
GAUGAACGCUGGCGGCGUGCCUAAUACAUGCAAGUCGAGCGAACGGACGAGAAGCUUGCUUCUCUGAUGUUAGCGGCGGACGGGUGAGUAACACGUGGAUAACCUACCUAGAAGACUGGGAUAACUUCGGGAAACCGGAGCUAAUACCGGAUAAUAUUUUGAACCGCAUGGUUCAAAGGUGAAAGACGGUCUUGCUGUCACUGAUAGAUGGAUCCGCGCUGCAUUAGCUAGUUGGUAAGGUAACGGCUUACCAAGGCAACGAUGCAUAGCCGACCUGAGAGGGUGAUCGGCCACACUGGAACUGAGACACGGUCCAGACUCCUACGGGAGGCAGCAGUAGGGAAUCUUCCGCAAUGGGCGAAAGCCUGACGGAGCAACGCCGCGUGAGUGAUGAAGGUCUUCGGAUCGUAAAACUCUGUUAUUAGGGAAGAACAUAUGUGUAAGUAACUGUGCACAUAUUGACGGUACCUACACAGAAAGCCACGGCUAACUACGUG